AUGGAUUUAAACCCAUCAAUAACGUGUUGGAAUGUUCGAGGAUUGAACAACCCAGCGAAGAGGCAAGUGGUCAAAGAUUUCCUAGUCUCGGUGCGGCCUAACUUAGUGUGCUUAGAAGAAACUAAGGUUGAUGUAGUGGACAACUUUCUCAUAAUGCAAUGUUGUGGGCGGUCAUUAGACGGAUUUGCUUAUUUGCCGGUGGCUGAUACGAGAGGAGGGAUCAUUCUAGCUUGGGACACCACCGUGCUGCUAGUCGAUCACAUCACGCGUGAUACGAACUCCAUCACUGGCUUGGUGCAUCCUAAGUCAGGGGACGAUUGA
rnacentral:rRNA from 1 species